rnacentral:rRNA from 1 species
ACGAACGCUGGCGGCGUGCCUAAUACAUGCAAGUCGAGCGGACCGACGGGAGCUUGCUCCCUUAGGUCAGCGGCGGACGGGUGAGUAACACGUGGGUAACCUUCCUGUAAGACUGGGAUAACUCCGGGAAACCGGGGCUAAUACCGGAUGCUUGAUUGAACCGCAUGGUUCAAUCAUAAAAGGUGGCUUUCAGCUACCACUUACAGAUGGACCCGCGGCGCAUUAGCUAGUUGGUGAGGUAACGGCUCACCAAGGCGACGAUGCGUAGCCGACCUGAGAGGGUGAUCGGCCACACUGGGACUGAGACACGGCCCAGACUCCUACGGGAGGCAGCAGUAGGGAAUCUUCCGCAAUGGACGAAAGUCUGACGGAGCAACGCCGCGUGAGUGAUGAAGGUUUUCGGAUCGUAAAACUCUGUUGUUAGGGAAGAACAAGUACCGUUCGAAUAGGGCGGCACCUUGACGGUACCUAACCAGAAAGCCACGGCUAACUACGUGCCAGCAGCCGCGGUAAUACGUAGGUGGCAAGCGUUGUCCGGAAUUAUUGGGCGUAAAGCGCGCGCAGGCGGUUUCUUAAGUCUGAUGUGAAAGCCCCCGGCUCAACCGGGGAGGGUCAUUGGAAACUGGGGAACUUGAGUGCAGAAGAGGAGAGUGGAAUUCCACGUGUAGCGGUGAAAUGCGUAGACAUGUGGAGGACACCAGUGGCGAAGGCGACUCUCUGG